UGUGGGAGCUAAAGAGAGUGUAGUGAUGUACUGUCGUUGAAGAUGCAGGAUACACAGAUGGCAAAGAAGACAGGUUGACUUCGAAUGGAAAAAAUAAUAAAUUAAACAGAGAUAGGAGGAAAAUAAUCACUCAUUCAUAUAUACCAAAACACCUAUUAAUCUUAUAUUAUGACAGGUAAAGUACAACUGAUUACGAAUAUCAGAAAUGAAAAAAACGUGUACAUGAGUUCGAUUUGGGUUUCGACAGAGGGACAGAAGUAUGAAGAGGGGCAGGCAGCCCAUUUGAAGCAGAGCCCCAAAGCUGUAUGAGGAAAAGGAGGUCUUCAGCAUUGCCUUGUUCUCUCAAUCCCUCAACAGGAGCAGCAGGAUAGCUGAAGGCAACAGUGAACAUACUGUUAAGUACACAGCCAGAGAGAAAGAGAGAUGAGCCAAGCGGAGAGAAGCCGUGCUGAGUGCCAGCUUCACGCAGCUUCAAAAGAAAAAUGAGCAGUUGAAAGAAGUUGCUCUAAACUGUGUGGGGCUUCUUGGAUUUUUCUGCUUCUUCCGCUCCUGAUGCCGCUCCAGGGGGGAACCUAAGAUGCGAGGCAGCUGCCUGACUAAGCGAUGAGGCCAAGAGGAGGAAGAGGAGGAUGGAAUUACCCCCACAGCCUUUUUCUCCAGAGGACUUUCCACCCAACAAGUUAAGUGACAUUUGGUAGAGGUUGGCAAUUCGAUACAUAUCUGCAAGGUGGUAGCUGUUCAGUGUGUGAACAAUUGAACGGAAUGUUGUAUCCGUUUUCUUUUUCCCUUUUUCCCUCAGCAGAAUGACUAAAACCUCUGUUGCCGCAGUGACCUAGCAUCUGCAGGCUGUUCAUGAUCAUCAUCAUGUUCAGAUUUAUUUAUCUGAGCUGGCAUCAAUUCUUUGUUUCAUCUCUUCCGGACCAACAUUAGGGUUCCCAUAGUGCCAAAUAAUACAAAAGACAAAAGAAACUGAGGAAACAUGUGUAACCCUUCUGUUCCGAGCAGCAGAAUCCAAAAUAAAUUAAAGACUCUGAAUGCAGUUAAGAAGAACUGUGGUGUGCUACAGUUGUCCACAGCCAGAAUAGGAACAUCAACAAUGUACUAUACUCAUUUCCAGAUCACACAGCCUCUUCCAUCCAGCUUCUGUUACAACUGUUAGUGCACUUAGAACCACGUAUUAUAGCCUCUAAUAGGUGCUGACAGAACAGCCAAACUGGUUUUAUACCACACAUUAUCUUUAAGAAGUAGGGAAAAUGUGUGGUUUAAAUGGCUGUUUAUAAUGUGUGUGUUUGUGCGUCAGAUAAGGACGCUGGAAGUUGGAAGGAUGACUUUAAAAUAUAUAUUUUUUGAAAUGCAGUCAUUGUUUCUUGGCCUUGAAUUCAUAGGCUCCUGUUUUCUUUUCUUGUAAACAUAAUUUUGUCCUCGAACAGAAGAUGCAUAGAGAGUCGCCGGUCUGCACAGACCCUACAGACUCACAGAAGGGAGGGAGGACAGUGUUGCUGGGUCACUGGCCUUCAGUGGGAUUGGGUUGCACCCUGGAUCCCAGAGGAGGGAGAGGAAGCCCGGGGAGGGGGCAGAGAGCACGCUGUGUGGCCAAACAACUAACUGAUAGCGCAGGGGGAAAUGUUCAGCAUCCUCAGCGGCACAUGGCUCACUAGUGGAGGACCCACAUUUACAGCAGAUGGCUACUACAGGGGGUUUGUGCACAUAGAAGGUCGUGUGUGUUUUCAUACCUGUAGGACUGAGCUUGUGUGCGUGUUGGGGAAACUUGUGGGUCUGUUAGGCCACAGAAUAAGGUCCUUGCGAGACAAACACUUUUGAUUCCUGGGCGGUGACCUUCCUCUGUCCCCCUCCGAGUCUCCGGUUUCCGCCUGACCCUCUUCUUCAAGGCCGAACAGACGUUGGUAGUGGAGCCGAUAUGCCGAUUUGAGGGAGAGAAAAAGGGCUAACCAUCUAAGAGAGGAAAAAGAAGGGAAGCAGGAAAACAUGAUUACAUUUUUCAAAAAGAAUAUUCUGGAGAUUCCUACUAUUAGCAUAACUAUUGUUAAAAGAUUGCCAUUAUAUAGUGAUAAAGCUUUCAGAGUGCAAAGAUGACAAAAGAGCUGCUGCACAUGUGGUGUCUUUCUAAGGGACAUUUUGGACAUCUGGACUUUCUGCUGAAGGAAAUUCUCUUUUUUUUUUUACUACCCCAGACACUUCACGGACUUAUUUGGAACAAAGACAAGGAUAGUAACAGAUCCCACAAUGGGACCUUAGAUCCCACCUCACUAAGGUGCCUUGCAACAUGAGACUGGACAUCUCUGCCGGUGACACGUCGAUGAAGCGCAGGAAAGAGAAGCAGCUUCCUUUGUCAUCACCUGGAAGAGUCGAAGUAGAAUAGGAACAGGAAUGAAUGAAACAUCAGAUCUGCAUGUCAAAUAAAAAUGACCGUCUCAGAGCUCCUUGUUUAUUUACGCUUAAGAAAAUGUCCUCACCUUUUCUGUGAAAAAGAGACUGCUGAAUGUGACUUGGAGAAAAGGGAGACAGCAACACUUGAAGUAAUCUGAAGAGGAAGGGAGAGACAGACAGGGUUACAUAAGAGACUUUGAGAGAAAGAAGAAGAAUUUGGAUUUUCACUUAAUGCCAGUGAGAGCCACAUUUAUGUUGCUAACAGCUCUAAUUGAGAUAAUAGCCCUGUGUAACUCCAAAAUCAGCAAAUAUCCACAAGAACUAUUUUACUAGUGUUUAACUCAAUCAUUUCAAUGUUAAACCUAACCCUCUCAAAACAAGGACUGUGGACAUUAUGAUGGACCUAUUUUCAUUGGAUUUCAGGCACAGUGUGUGUGUGUAUCUUUGUAGGAGAGCUUACUUGUUUUUGGCCUGGUUGUGUGCGUGGAUGAGGCCGUGCCGGUACAGAAACUUCGACAUGAUGUAGGGCUUGAUGUACAUGUGGAAAGGAGAGCGAGUUUCCUGGCGCUCGAACAAGUCGGGGUGGUUGCACACCUACACAAACGCACAAAACAGAGAAAACACUGAUUUUGCUUCUUACGCCAAUUCCUUGUGUGUGUGAUUGUACGUCUCAAAUUGAAUCACCACCAAUAAAAUGUAGGCCUGUUAUUAGUAUUGGAACAUUAAAAUUCCCUUGAAAGUCGAGUUUUGA